AGUGAACGCUGGCGGUAGGCCUAACACAUGCAAGUCGAACGGCAGCACAGUAAGAGCUUGCUCUUACGGGUGGCGAGUGGCGGACGGGUGAGGAAUACAUCGGAAUCUACUUUUUCGUGGGGGAUAACGGAGGGAAACUUACGCUAAUACCGCAUACGACCUACGGGUGAAAGCAGGGGAUCUUCGGACCUUGCGCGAUUGAAUGAGCCGAUGUCGGAUUAGCUAGUUGGCGGGGUAAAGGCCCACCAAGGCGACGGUCCGUAGCUGGGCUGAGGGGAUGGUCGACCGACACAGGAGGGGAGAGACGGCCCAGCGCCUUAGGGAGGCAGCAGUGGGGAAUAUUGGACAAUGGGCGGAAGCCUGAUCCAGCCAUACCGCGUGGGUGAAGAAGGCCUUCGGGUUGUAAAGCCCUUUUGUUGGGAGAGAAAAGCAGCAGCUUAAUACCCCGCUGUUCUGACGGUACCCAGAGAAUAAGCACCGGCUAACUACGUG
rnacentral:rRNA from 1 species